rnacentral:ncRNA from 1 species
GGAAAGAAAUUUAGAACUUUUUAGUAUUCCUUUCCAUUUACAGCAAUUUGCAGCCCGGAUGGCUGCAAAAGGCUUACCUGAGCCACGGAUGGCGAAUGUAAGCCACUUGCGUACGAUGACAAUUUUCAGACAUAAGGAAUACUUAGAAGUUCUUAAUU